GACAUACCGAAGACAUAGGUGUAUUGCAUUCGUAUACACAUUUUUAUAUGUUUUGAAUGUGUUGAACAACACUGUUGUUUAUAAACUUGGUCAUAUCGGCAGACAUUGGCAUAGCCCAUAGGUUAGAUUAAAUUAGCUUUAUUCUGUAGUCAUUGGUCAACAAAUUAUAGUAAUCAUUACCGAUUGAAUACAGUAUCUGACCACAAAAUUUUAAAUAGCUAUAUCAUGCUGUACAGUUUUAUAUUACAUAUCACGUAGCUAGGGGUAAUCUUAUGACGAUUUCGGAUUAAUAAAUAUUGCAGUAAAAACACUUGAAUUCGCUUCUGCAAAAGCUGGUAGGCA